UACGUAGGGUGCAAGCGUUGUCCGGAAUUAUUGGGCGUAAAGAGCUCGUAGGCGGCUUGUUGCGUCGUCCGUGAAAACCCGCAGCUCAACUGCGGGCUUGCGGACGAUACGGGCAGGCUGGAGUUCGGUAGGGGAGACUGGAAUUCCUGGUGUAGCGGUGAAAUGCGCAGAUAUCAGGAGGAACACCGGUGGCGAAGGCGGGUCUCUGGGCCGUAACUGACGCUGAGGAGCGAAAGCGUGGGGAGCGAACAGG
rnacentral:rRNA from 1 species